UGGGGAAUUUUGGACAAUGGGCGAAAGCCUGAUCCAGCAAUGCCGCGUGUGUGAAGAAGGCCUUCGGGUUGUAAAGCACUUUUGUCCGGAAAGAAAUCCUUGGCUCUAAUACAGUCGGGGGAUGACGGUACCGGAAGAAUAAGCACCGGCUAACUACGUGCCAGCAGCCGCGGUAAUACGUAGGGUGCAAGCGUUAAUCGGAAUUACUGGGCGUAAAGCGUGCGCAGGCGGUUUGCUAAGACCGAUGUGAAAUCCCCGGGCUCAACCUGGGAACUGCAUUGGUGACUGGCAGGCUAGAGUAUGGCAGAGGGGGGUAGAAUUCCACGUGUAGCAGCGAAAUGCGUAGAGAUGUGGAGGAAUACCGAUGGCGAAGGCAGCCCCCUGGGCCAAUACUGACGCUCAUGCACGAAAGCGUGGGGAGCAAAACAGGAUUAGAUACCCUGGUAGUCCACGCCCUAAACGAUGUCAACUAGUUGUUGGGGAUUCAUUUCCUUAGUAACGUAGCUAACGCGUGAAGUUGACCGCCUGGGGAGUACGGUCGCAAGAUUAAAACUCAAAGGAAUUGACGGGGUCAUAGCUG
rnacentral:rRNA from 1 species